rnacentral:rRNA from 1 species
AGAAUCUGCCCUGUACUGGGGGACAACAGAGGGAAACUUCUGCUAAUACCCCAUAUGAGCGUACCUGCGAUGGUAUUCUUGAAAGUUCCGGCGGUACAGGAUGAGUCUGCAUCUGAUUAGCUAGUUGGUGGUGUAAUGGACUACCAAGGCGACGAUCAGUAGCUGGUUUGAGAGGAUGAUCAGCCACAAUGGGACUGAGACACGGCCCAUACUCCUACGGAAGGCAGCAG